rnacentral:lncRNA from 1 species
CAAACCAUAUGAGAUGUGGCUAAAGCUUGUUUCUUCAUGCAGUUCACUCUGGAAGAUAGAAUCAUCUUCGAAGAGUCUCAUGAAAUCUGUUUUUAAGAACAUUUUCAUUCACAGUGCUGUAAACGAGAAUCUUCCACAUCUGGAAAUGCUGAGUGUUGGAUGUUACUCUGCUGCUAUUUAGGGUAAUUUUUCCAAGAAUAGCUGUAACCUGGUUGUGUUUGUGGGAGGAGGUGAGUUCAGAGUCUGCCUACCCCGCCACCUUGACGAGAUCCCUCAGAAGGAAGACUGAACAAAGAACAAUUCGGGACGAGAAAGAAGUCCAGCAGGAAGAACUGAGCACGGCGUCUUGCUUCUCCUGUGGCCCCUCUCUGUGGAAGAACACCUCUAUCCACCAAGACCCCUAAACUGGGAAACCAAGAGUCCUGCUGCGAGGUCCCUCUCACUCGCUUGGCCCGCGUUCAGACCCUUACCAAAACUUGGUGAUUUCACAGUGCUUUCCAAAUUACGCCCAGCGGGGUGAGUCGGAGACGGAGGGCAGGGGCUCCACUUCCAAAAAAAAACAGCACUGCCACGGUUCCAAGUAAAAUUGCAAGAUUUUGUUUGAUAAAAAGAAUUCCACCGUGGGAGCAAAUUUUUGGAACCUUUAACACUUCUCUUUUGUGUCCGUCACCUCUUCUCCAUCCUCCCGCCUUUGUCGUCGGUCAGUCCUUCAUCAUGUGCAACUUGGAUUAUGACAAAGGCCCACGUGCUGAUGCCCUGCCUAUGGUCUUCCUCCUUCCUGCUCCUGCUCCAUUCUUUUACCAGAAAAUCAUUCAUUUUCUUCCCUCCUCAAAUUGCUUCAAUGGUUCCUUUUUGAAGCCGUAUAAAACACUAAGUACCUUUGCAUAGAAACCAAAACCUCUAUAAUCUUGUUUACCUGUCCAGUUCUUCUCCCCCAACUCACCCCUUCCCCUAUCACUGCUACCACAAUGCUAUCAUAAUAUUAUUCUCUGUAUAAUGUUGUUCUAGGACAACAUGGAACCCUUGUCUCUGUGCCUUUGUGCUUUCUGAUCCCUCUGAUUGGAAAGCCUUUCUUCUUUGUAUGUCCUGACUCCUCUUUAAAAUUUAACUCAAGCACCGCCAUCGCUGGGGAACCUUUUUUAACAACCUAAGAUGACCAAGACAUGACUACACUUUGGGAACCACAUGGCAAAAUAUCUUUUUUUAGAAACCCCAAGUUCUCAUCUUUCUAUUGUUUAAAAGCCAUUUAUUUUUACUUAAGCGUCUCAAUGUAUCUAUUUUAUGACGUUCAGCUUUGAGGAAAAUAUAAGGAUGAUAGAAAUCUGUGUCUUCAGGAAUUUACGGUCAAAUUGUGGAGCUAAUUUAUGAAAUCUAUCAGGCCUUUCCAGAGGGGAUAUAUAUAUCUUUGUCACCAACCCACAAAUUCAGGAAGACCCUUAAUAUUGAAGGCUGGGCGACUGGCCAGUCUGACUCACUUACCAACUGACUCACUCCCUUGUGUAAG